UUAAUUGGAAACUAAUAGAUACAGAGAGACUUAACAAUGUCUUAAUAAACACACACAUAAAUGCAUCUCUGACUGACUAAUGUGGAAUUUAAAAAUCCAAGGAUGUCUAUGUAAAUAUUCUUCUUACUCUGACAAUUACCUUGUAAGCCUGAAUUACAGCACUUAAGAAGUCAGGUAAUCAGAAGAAAAUGGAAUAACAAUGUCGCCAAAACCAAAAUCAUCUGUAUUUCCUCAGUUAGGCACACAGAAAUCUAAAUGAAAGCGUUUCGGCGAGCACCUUGGAAUAUUUCACCCAUGAAAGAAAAGCUGAGGCAGCCUUGGGAAGAAAAACUGUCCACUGAAAAUUACAGUUCUCAGUGUGAGCGAUGGCAGCUCUGUGUGUGACACCAAAACAAAUUUUGCUGUAGAAAAAAAAAGAGCCUCAAUCAUAAAUUGCUGAUGCUGUAACACCCACAUCAUCAUGCCAUACAGUAUCAUCACAGCUACUCAGGCUUCUGUCGACACUGGCUGGGCAAUUGCAGCUGUCAGUCACCUAAAUAAUGUGGGAGAUAGUGGUGGUAUUUCAGACAAUGGAGAGGGAUUUUAUCAUCCUUUCUCCAGUAGGUCAUACAGAAAAAAAGAAAAAAAAAUUAGUAUAGGUGGGGUGCAAGCAGCAACUGCUGUUCUUGACAGGGCUUUGACUGAGUAUUGUCAUGAAAGAAAUGAAGUUCAUGGCUGUCUGAUCACCCUUCCUGACAUCAUGGGAGUGAGCCUACAAGGAGCUUGCUCGAGCUAGGAGCCUCACAGCUGGGUACUGCAGCAGAAAAUAUGAAGACCCCCCCACAAUACGGUUACUACAUAAAAAAUUCAUGCCAUUUUGUUGCUUCCACGGUUGAAUCUCUUCAAUGGUUCCAGUGGCGGCUUGUUGGAAGAAGCUUGAUAAAGAGAAAAGUCUGCUCUCACUUCUCAGGAGAUUUGUAGAGUCAGUCUCUGUGAGAGCCUGCAGGAGGGAUCUGCACGCCCCCACUUUGAGCUAGCAUAUAGAUCAUGCUGGGUUUUAC
ensembl:lncRNA